rnacentral:rRNA from 1 species
UACGUAGGGUGCGAGCGUUAAUCGGACUUACUGGGCGUAAAGCGUGCGCCGGCGGUUUGAUAAGCCAGAUGUGAAAUCCCCGAGCUCAACUUGGGAACUGCGUUUGGAACUGUCAGACUAGAGUGCGUCAGAGGGGGGUGGAAUUCCGCGUGUAGCAGUGAAAUGCGUAGAGAUGCGGAGGAACACCGAUGGCGAAGGCAGCCCCCUGGGAUGACACUGACGCUCAUGCACGAAAGCGUGGGGAGCAAACAGG